AUCAUCACGCUACACGGAUUGUUGAAGAAUUAUUGGUCCGUGGUGUCAUCCAAGAAUUUACGUACAAUGAGAAUAAUAAAGAAGAAGAAAAGGAAAUACAAAACUAUUUUCAGGAAGAAAUUGC
rnacentral:ribozyme from 1 species